GUGCUCGCUUUGGCAGCACACAUACUGAAAUUGGAACGAUACAGAGAAGAUUAGCGUGGCCCCUGUGCAAGGAUGACACGCACAUUCAUGAAGCCUUCCAUAUUAAA
rnacentral:snRNA from 1 species